rnacentral:tRNA from 1 species
UCCCUGGUGGCUCAGAUGGUAAAGAAUCUGCCUGCAAUGCAGGAGACCCAGGUUCUAUCCCUGGCUUUGAAA